GAUGAAGAACGUAGCGAAAUACGAUACUUGGUGUGAAUUGCAGAAUCCCGUGAACCAUCGAGUCUUUGAACGCAAGUUGCGCCCGAAGCCAUUAGGCCGAGGGCACGCCUGCCUGGGUGUCAUACGUCGUUGCCCCCCCAUCUACUCCUUCGGGAUUGCGGGGGGCGGAUGAUGGCCUCCCGUGCGCCUCGUCGCGCGGUUGGCAUAAAUGCCAAGUCCUCGGCGACGCACGCCACGACAAUCGGUGGUUGCGAAACCUCGGUUGCCCGUCGUGUGCGGUCGUCGCGCAUCGAGGGCUCGAAAAAAUUGCCGGGCUCCGGCUCGGCUUUCAACGCGACCCCAGGUCAGGCGGGGUUACCCGCUGAAUUUAAGCAUAUCAAUAAGCGGAGGA
rnacentral:misc_RNA from 1 species